UACGAAGGGGGCUAGCGUUGCUCGGAAUCACUGGGCGUAAAGGGUGCGCAGGCGGGUCUUUAAGUCAGGGGUGAAAUCCUGGAGCUCAACUCCAGAACUGCCUUUGAUACUGAAGAUCUUGAGUUCGGGAGAGGUGAGUGGAACUGCGAGUGUAGAGGUGAAAUUCGUAGAUAUUCGCAAGAACACCAGUGGCGAAGGCGGCUCACUGGCCCGAUACUGACGCUGAGGCACGAAAGCGUGGGGAGCAAACAGG
rnacentral:rRNA from 1 species